rnacentral:snRNA from 1 species
GGAUGUGAGGGCCAUCUUGCUGCAACCUCUUGUCACCCCAUUGAUUGCUAGGGUUGUUUCAGCUGAUCUGGCUGGCUAGGCACGUGUCCCCUUCCUCCCUUACCACUCCACAUGUGUCCCUCCCUAAGCUGUACGCUCUGUCAAAGAGGGCAACUUUCUCCAAUAUAGACAGUACCAUUAAUCAGUCAAGGGUAUGCAGUAGCUGCUAGAACCUCCAAACGAAUAAUGCCAGCAGCUCCUCAAGGACUUCCUCUGGAAAGUCUUGGG